rnacentral:sRNA from 2 species
CGCGCCGUCAUUGGGGAGUAGCCGCCUUCCGUCGAGAGAAGGGCUCACGUCAACAGACUUGUCCUGCCCCACACGGGACAUGGCGUGCGCAGUGUUUCACCUGGCGAGACCUUUGACCGUGCAACUUCGGAAGAUGGCCGAAGGUGUUGCACGGUCAAUUGCGUCCUUCGGCCCAAGGAACU